CUGGCUCAGGAUGAACGCUAGCUACAGGCUUAACACAUGCAAGUCGAGGGCAGCAUGAGAUUAGCUUGCUAAUCUGAUGGCGACCGGCGCACGGGUGCGUAACACGUAUCCAAUCUACCCAUGGCUCGGGGAUAGCCUUUCGAAAGAAAGAUUAAUACCCGAUGGUCUGCGAUUGAGACAUCUCGAUUGCAGUAAAGACUUGUCGGCGAUGGAUGGGGAUGCGUCCGAUUAGCUAGUUGGCGGGGUAACGGCCCACCAAGGCGACGAUCGGUAGGGGUUCUGAGAGGAAGGUCCCCCACACUGGAACUGAGACACGGUCCAGACUCCUACGGGAGGCAGCAGUGAGGAAUAUUGGUCAAUGGUCGGGAGACUGAACCAGCCAAGUAGCGUGAGGGACGACGGCCCUACGGGUUGUAAACCUCUUUUGUAUGGGAAUAAAGUGAGGCACGUGUGCCUUUUUGUAUGUACCUUACGAAUAAGCAUCGGCUAAUUCCGUGCCAGCAGCCGC
rnacentral:rRNA from 1 species